GCCUGGAUAGCUCAGUUAGUCAGAGCGUGGUGCUAAUAACCCCAAGGUUGCAGGUUCAAUUCCAGUAAUGGACA